AUGGGAUAAGUCCUUCUUAACUCAAGAAGGAUACCAAUGGAGAUGGGUCAAUCUUCUUCAAGAACUGCUAUGCUUCGUUCUACUUCUUCAACAAAGACAGAAAGAAAGGUCAUAGAGCAAAAUAGAAGAAAUCAAAUGAAGACCCUCUUCUCCAACCUUAAUUCUCUCCUUCCUAAACAAAGUUCCAAGGAAGCAUUGCCACUGCCUGAUCAGGUAGAUGAAGCUAUAAACUACAUAAAGAGUGUAAAGGAAAAGUUGAAGAAAUACAAGGAAAAGAAAGAAAGCUUAUCAGGCAGAAAAAGAUCGUUUUCUAAUUGCACCCGUUCUUUUGAAUCUACGUCAACUUCAAGAGCACCUCAAUUAGAAAUCCGAGAAAUGGGUUUUUCUCUGCAGAUAGUUUUGAUAAGUGGGGUAGAUAAUCAGUUCAUUUUCUAUGAGAUCAUUCGCAUUCUGCACGAUGAAGGUGUAGAAAUCGCUAGUGCUAGUUUUUCAGUUUCUGGCAAUUCAAUUUAUCAUGUAGUUCAUGCACAGAUGAGGGAAUCUGAUUUCAGUUUUGGAGCUGCAAAAGUGACUGAGAGACUGAACAGGUUUAUCAACGGAUCAACGAGUGAAUUAGAAUUAGAACCAGAGUUAUGGGACUUUAAUGAUCUUAAUCCUGAGACAUGGGCAUUCUGAAAGAUGAAGUAAGAAUUCCAUUGUAGUUUUGAAUCUGGAUGACAGAGAGAUAUCUGUAUUAUAAAAUGUACUAUAUAGCAAAGAAGCCUUCUUGUUCUUUUUAAUAAUAUGGGCAACUAUAGGAAAUUUGCAUCCUAU
rnacentral:misc_RNA from 1 species